rnacentral:tRNA from 1 species
ACUUAAAUAGUUUAUUUAAAAUAUUAAUUUGUGGAAUUAAAGAUAUGAUAGGUCAUUUUAAGUA